ensembl:lncRNA
CCUUCCCUCCCACUCUCUCUCUUUCUCCCUCUUCUCUUCCUCUUUCUCUCUCUUUCUCUCUCUCUCUCUCUUUCUCUCUCUGUGUCUCUGCCUCUGUCUCUGCCUCUCUCUCUGUCUCUCUCUCUCCUUCUCUCCUCUCUCUUUCUCUCUCUCUCUCUCUCUCUCUCUCUCUCUCUCUCUCUCUCUUUCUCUCUCUGUGUCUCUGCCUCUGUCUCUCUCUCUCUGUCUCUCUCUCUCUCUAUCUCUCUCUCUCUCUGUCUCUCUCCCUUUCUCUCUCUCUUUUCUCUCUGUCUCUCUCCACCCCCCCAUCUCUAUCUCUAUCUCUCUGUCUCUUUUCUCUGUUUCUUCUCUGCCUCUCUUUUCUCUCUUUGUCUUUCUGUCUCUCUUUUUUCUGUCUGUCUCUUUCUCUCUGUCUAUCUAUCUAUUUUCUCUCUAUUCUCUCUGUCUCUUCUCUGUAUCUUUUUCUUCUAUCUGUCUCUCUCUCUGACUCUUUAUCUCUCCUUUCUUUCUCUUCUCUCUGACUUUCUUUUCUUUCUGUCUCUAUCUCUCUUCUCUUUGUCUGUCUGUCUGUUUGACUGUCUCUCUCUCUCUGUGUUAAUCUUACUCUCCCCAACCCUCCACCACUACCCAGGCUUGGAAGUACUGAAGCUACUCACACAACCAAUCACAUUACUGAUCCCCACAGGAGCUUUAACUUGCUCCAUUUCUGACCUGGUCACUCUGGGAGUGCUUUACUCCUGUUUUCCAUAUUGAUGCUGGGUUUACUGAAGAUGCCCAAUUGGCUUAGCUCUACUGUAGCUCAGAACUCUUGAGCUCCAGUAAUCCACCAAUCUUAGCUUUACAAGUAUGCACCACCGUGCUCAGCUAUGUUGGAUCUUAAAACACUGGAAUGAAAAUGCAAACAAACAAAUGGAUAGCUAGGGGAUGAAGUGGAUAGAGUGUUGGGCCUCAGGUCAUGAAAACUCAUCUUCCUGAAUUCAAAUCUGGUCUCAGAUACUUACUAGCUGUGUGACCCUGGGUAAGUCACAUAACCCUGUUUACUUCAGUUUCCUCAUUUGUAAAAUGAACUAAAAAAUGAAAAGGCAAGCCACUCCAGUUUCUUUGCUGAAAAAAUCCUAAAUGAGGUCAUAAGAGGCAGACAAGACUGAAUGAUUGAAUUACAACAGCCAAGCAAAUCAUUACUGAGUAACAACUAAGAAGAAUAAUGUACCAUGGCUGUCCUCAAGGAAUCUGGCUGAGGAAACAAGGCAUAUACACUUGAAAAGGCAACAAAUACCAGCAGCUGAUAUAUGCUGAGUUCCAAAGGGCAACAGGUGGAAGAAGAGGGAUGUAAAAAAGACAGAGAGAUAAAACAACAUCUGCAAAGGUUCACAGAGAAAGCUCAAAUUUGUCUGGACCUUAAAGGAUACAAUUGGUCCAAGCAGAGAGGGUCUGCCAGCUACACUGAAUGUCACAUGCAGAGGGCAACUUAAAUGGCCAUGGAGAGGCACAGGGUGGGCAUAAGUAAGUCAUAACUUGUUACCAAUGGAGACACCGUGAAAAAGACAUCAACAUCAAGAUCAUAAAGCUAGCCUUAAUAGCUAUUAUCUGGGAAGCAUCUCCUAUAGAGAAGAGGCCAGCCAACCUCAUUACCUGGCAACCAGCUGCCACUCAAAGAGCAGGUAUGCCAGCCUAGCUGAAACAGUGGAGUACCACAAGGGAAAGACACAAAACAGAUGUGACAGGAAAGUGAAGCCACCAUCACCACCAUGAU